UGAGGAACAUGACCUUCGGCGGGGGAUAGCCGGCCCAACGGUCGGGUAAUACCGCGUACGACCACAUGGGGACAUCCCUGAGUGGUGAAAGCAGCAAUGCGCCGAUGGAGUGCCUCGCGGCCUAUCAGCUAGUUGGUGAGGUAACGGCUCACCAAGGCAACGACGGGUAGCUGGUCUGAGAGGAUGGCCAGCCANAUUGGGACUGAGACACGGCCCAGACCUCGUAACCGGGGAGG
rnacentral:rRNA from 1 species